ensembl:lncRNA
GGAAUUAAUACUGGGGAGGGGAGGGAGAAGGAGUGUCAGGUGUUGAGUGGGCAAGUCAGACCAGCUGUGGGAAUUACAGUUAUUGUCACUGGAGACAACACAGCCCUGACCUCCAGUAUAAGCUGCUGGAAGAUAUUAACACCUAAUUAUCAAGCCAGGGGUGCAUCUUACACCUUAAUCACUGGUGAGGUGAGACUGACAAAAAAGAGGAAGGGAGGUGUUUUCCAUGUUCCUUUCAGCAAGCAUCCAUCCUCUAACAGGGGGUCAUCACUUGCAGCAAAUGACAAUUUCCUUUUAGCCCUUUCAGUCUAUAGAAAAGCACAGUAACUUCAUUUGCUAGCAGGUAGGCAGUGGAGGUGAGAAUCGGAUUGAUCUGAAAUUGACCCUGAGGUCACUGCCUCCUUUAAAUUGGGUGCUACAGACAAAGUUUCUUUUCUUCUUCUCUGGCUCCUGCCAGCAGCCAAGCAGAGUCCUCAGUCAUUGGGGCGGGAGGUGGGGAGAGUGUUAGCAAUUAUUUAAAGGGAUUCUGACACCAGGGUUGAACCCCUACCCCAAACUUAAUCCAAGUGGAGACCUUUUUUUUUUUUUUUUUUAACCGAUGGUGGUUAAUUAAAGGGGCCUCCCCCCAUGGUGUGCCUCUGGCUUGUUUAUAUUUUAAAAUGAGGUUCAUUCCUGAUGCACAAGAAAUGGCAGGGGGGAAGCUGACAGUCGGGGUCUCUUACUGGGCUGACUUGAAGAAAUAGGGAAUAGAAUUUCCUGUUUCCUUUUACAUUUUUUCUUCCUUAUUUCACCCCGCCCCCCCCAACUCCCCCACUUCAAAGUCCUUUCAAAGCAUCUUGGGGUGCAUAGAUACGCCUGACAGUGCUGGAAAUGCUGCACUGCUUUUCAGAAGGCCAGGGGACUCUGCUGGGCACGCAGGCCUGGCCUCGCUCUCCGCCCAGCGGUGAGGGUCGCCAAGAGGGAGCAGAAAUCCCUUUCACCGAUUUUGAUCUUCUGGACCGCAGUUGAGAAGCGCUGUCUCGUUCCUUCGCUUCAGUGGGUAGUGCCUACUGGCGGUUCUGUCCUGAUGCCCAAAGACUAUUGCGUUAUUCAUUUUCCCCAGACUUUCCCUGCCCCCUUUUUUUCUCCUUCUCUUUUUCUCCGUUUAAAGUCUCAAAGCGAAGCAGUUCCUCACCACUGCGUCGUAGAAGGAAAGCGCACGUGCUUGUUUGGAGAUCUGGACCAGAGCUCUCCCUUCCAGGGAAGGAGCAGUGGUUUGGGACGGGACAGGCUUUCUGGAAGCCUCGGGGCUGCUGGGCUGCCCGGGAGGAGACCUCCCAGCAACGGCUGGAGAUCCAUCACACCUGCGCAAGCAAGGCCCCGGGGCAUCACUUUCUUUCCCAGGAGGCAAGGCCUUCCCACGUGUUUCCCACGUGCUCAGCGCUCUGCUGGUCCAGUGAAGCCCGUGGACCCAAAAUGCGCUGCUUUCAGAGUCUUCCCCAGCUGAGUUGUUGGGGAUAAAAUUCUUGGUAAAAAAUGGGAUGCGUUUGAAACACUCUGGUCUCCAUGGGGACCCUGGUUAAUUAAGAUGUUACCUCUGUUGGCGCUCCAAUUUGUUUCCCCUACCUGACCAGCCCGGUGGAAAACGCCCCAAGGUUGGUGUAACCAAAUGGCACGUGACCCGUACGUGCGGUAAACCCGCCCUACACGUGUGUGGGCGGAGAACCAGCUCCACUCCUAAACUCUGCUGAGAGGUCUUGAGUUGCAGCGUUUGGGCCUCGAAAUCGGGUUCCUGCUCCAGAGCAAGGGGUUCCCUAGUGCUCCAGAACUUGGAGCUUUCAGCAGCGGCAAGCACUGUGACGGUCACCGGCUCCCCACAGGAAAAAAAAAAAAAAAUGUCAACAGCCGACGCCCACUCCAGUUUAUGAGAACCCCGAACGUCUCUGGACAUUGUCAACUGCCACCCACAGGAGAACCACUGCUCUCGACCAAGGUAGAUGAACACAGAGGAAGCCACGUGGCCAGCCUUCGUCAGCUUCCGACUCUCCACCCUUUGCUGGGACCCUGCCUUUCUCUCUCCGAAGGCAAGGACGCCGUGGUAGAGACUCACAGCUCGUGGCCUUGGUGUUGCGGGGGAGACAGAUGGCCAAACAAUUCCAGUCAAAGCAGUGAUGAGUUGGGACGGUCUCCUUCAUACAAUAGCGUGUGUCGGGAUGUUCUGUAUCUUUCACCCGUUCACUCACUUCAUCCUGGCAGUGUGCUUGCGUGAGAUGAGAGCCUUAGUCCCAUUUUACAGAGCAGUAGCCUGACUUCAGAGAGGGGGAGUGACUUGAGCCACCCACAAGCCCACAGGGUAGUGCGUAUUUGGACGAGACCGGCUGGCCCCGGGAGCUACCGAGUUUGGGAUGCCGACGGUGUGCGUUGCAUGCCUCAGGCCAGCGAUACUCACACUAAAGUCACCUAGGGAGCUCUCAAAACCCAGUGCUCAGGCCACACACCCGCCCCGACCUAUUAGAUCAGAACAUCUCGGGGUGGGAGACAGGCAUCGGUGCCUUUUAAAGAUCCCCCCAGGUGGCCCCCAAAGCACAGCUGAGUUAGGCAACCACUGCUUUCUAUGCAUUCUCUCACCCAAACCCUCCAUGCCCCUAUGGAGAAAUAAUCCUUGCUGGCCCAUUUUAAAGAUAAGAGACCUGAGUCUCUGAGAGGUCAGGUCACCCCCUCACCCCACUGAGUGGGGAUGUGAACCAGAACAGGCUAGAACCCUCACUAGCAGCCCCUGCACUGAAAUGCCUUCCUAGUGGGAGAUCAUCAGUGGGUCAAAAGGGGCUUUUCCAGGAGAAUGCAUUGUGUCUUAGGCACGUGUAAAAAUUGAAUCAAGCUUUUUUCCCAUCUUGCGGUUUCCAGUUCUUUGAACAACUGUGAGUGAAAC